UGGGGAAUUUUGGACAAUGGGCGCAAGCCUGAUCCAGCAAUGCCGCGUGAGUGAAGAAGGCCUUCGGGUUGCAAAGCUCUUUUGUCAGGGAAGAAACGGUGAGGGCUAAUAUCCUUUGCUAAUGACGGUACCUGAAGAAUAAGCACCGGCUAACUACGUGCCAGCAGCCGCGGUAAUACGUAGGGUGCAAGCGUUAAUCGGAAUUACUGGGCGUAAAGCGUGCGCAGGCGGUUAUGUAAGUCAGAUGUGAAAUCCCCGGGCUCAACCUGGGAAUGGCAUUUGAGACUGCAUGGCUAGAGUGUGUCAGAGGGGGGUAGAAUUCCACGUGUAGCAGUGAAAUGCGUAGAGAUGUGGAGGAAUACCGAUGGCGAAGGCAGCCCCCUGGGAUAACACUGACGCUCAUGCACGAAAGCGUGGGGAGCAAACAGGAUUAGAUACCCUGGUAGUCCACGCCCUAAACGAUGUCUACUAGUUGUCGGGACUUAAUUGUCUUGGUAACGCAGCUAACGCGUGAAGUAGACCGCCUGGGGAGUACGGUCGCAAGAUUAAAACUCAAAGGAAUUGACGGAAGC
rnacentral:rRNA from 1 species